GAUAAGAUCCUUGAAUAUUUUGAG
rnacentral:siRNA from 1 species